rnacentral:rRNA from 1 species
AACGAACGCUGGCGGCAGGCCUAACACAUGCAAGUCGAGCGAGGACUUCGGUUCUAGCGGCGGACGGGCGAGUAACGCGUGGGAAUGUGCCCUUCUCUACGGAAUAGCCCUGGGAAACUGGGAGUAAUACCGUAUACGCCCUUUUGGGGAAAGAUUUAUCGGAGAAGGAUCAGCCCGCGUUGGAUUAGGUAGUUGGUGGGGUAAUGGCCUACCAAGCCGACGAUCCAUAGCUGGUUUGAGAGGCUGAUCAGCCACGCUGGGACUGAGACACGGCCCAGACUCCUACGGAAGGCAGCAGUGGGGAAUCUUAGACGAGGGGGGCAACCCUGAUCUAGCCAUGCCGCGUGAGUGAUGAAGGCCUUAGGGUUGUACAGCUCUUUCAGCUGGGAAGAUAGUGACGGUACCAGCAGAAGAAGCCCCGGCUAACUCCGUG